rnacentral:rRNA from 1 species
GACGAACGCUGGCGGCGUGCCUAAUACAUGCAAGUCGAACGCAUUUUCUUUCACCGUAGCUUGCUACACCGAAAGAAAAUGAGUGGCGAACGGGUGAGUAACACGUGGGUAACCUGCCCAUCAGCGGGGGAUAACACUUGGAAACAGGUGCUAAUACCGCAUAAUUCCAUUUACCGCAUGGUAAAUGGAUGAAAGGCGCUUUUGCGUCACUGAUGGAUGGACCCGCGGUGCAUUAGCUAGUUGGUGGGGUAACGGCCUACCAAGGCUGCGAUGCAUAGCCGACCUGAGAGGGUGAUCGGCCAUACUGGGACUGAGACACGGCCCAGACUCCUACGGGAGGCAGCAGUAGGGAAUCUUCGGCAAUGGACGCAAGUCUGACCGAGCAACGCCGCGUGAGUGAAGAAGGUUUUCGGAUCGUAAAACUCUGUUGUUAGAGAAGAACAAGGAUGAGAGUGGAAAGUUCAUCCCUUGACGGUAUCUAACCAGAAAGCCACGGCUAACUACGUG